UAGCAUAUCAAUAGCGGAGGAAAAGAAACCAACCGGGAUUGCCUUAGUAACGGCGAGUGAAGCGGCAAAAGCUCAAAUUUGAAAUCUAGUACCUUCGGUGCUCGAGUUGUAAUUUGUAGAAGGCAACUUUGGGGCUGGUCCUUGUCUAUGUUCCUUGGAACAGGACGUCAUAGAGGGUGAUAAUCCCGUGUGGCGAGGAAUUCAGUCCUUUGUAAAGUGCUUUCGAAGAGUCGAGUUGUUUGGGAAUGCAGCUCAAAGUGGGUGGUAAAUUCCAUCUAAAGCUAAAUAUUGGCGAGAGACCGAUAGCGAACAAGUACAGUGAUGGAAAGAUGAAAAGAACUUUGAAAAGAGAGUGAAAAAGUACGUGAAAUUGUUGAAAGGGAAGGGCAUUUGAUCAGACAUGGUGUUUUGCGCCCCUUACCUCUCGUGGGUUUGGGAAUCUCGCAGCUCACUGGGCCAACAUCAGUUUUGGUGGCAGGAUAAAUCUAUAGGAACGUAGCUUACUUCGGUAAGUAUUAUAGCCUGUGGGAAUACUGCCAACCGGGACUGAGGACUGCGAUUUAUAUCAAGGAUGUUGGCAUAAUGGUUAUAUGCCGCCCGUCUUGAAACACGGACCAAGGAGUCUAACGUCUAUGCGAGUGUUUGGGUGUAAAACCCGUACGCGUAAUGAAAGUGAACGUAGGUUGGGGCCUCGCAAGAGGUGCACAAUCGACCGAUCCUGAUGUUUUCAGAUGGAUUUGAGUAAGAGCAUAGCUGUUGGGACCCGAAAGAUGGUGAACUAUGCCUGAAUAGGGUGAAGCCAGAGGAAACUCUGGUGGAGGCUCGUAGCGGUUCUGACGUGCAAAUCGAUCGUCGAAUUUGGGUAUAGGGCGAAAGACUAAUCGA
rnacentral:rRNA from 1 species